GACAGAGGCCUCGAGCGUUAGGCGGAAUCACUGGGCUUAAAGCGUGUGUAGGCGGACGCCUAAGUGUCUUGUGAAAUCCCACGGCUCACCCGUGGAACCGCUGGGCAUACUGGGCGUCUUGGGCCAUUCAGGGGCGACUGGAACAAGCGGUGGAGCGGUGAAAUGCGUAGAUAUCGAGAGGAACACCUGCGGCGAAGGCGGGUUGCUGGGCUGACACUGACGCUGAUGUGCGAAAGCUAGGGGAGCGAACGGG
rnacentral:rRNA from 1 species